GAGCCUCACAGGAAGGGAACGGCCAGGCUGGGAGCUGAAGCAAGGCCCGGGAUUCUCAAGCCAGCAACUACGGCUCCACAGAGCAGGCCCCCCACCCUCCUCCUGGGCUUGAAAGGGUGGAGAGGUGGGGUUGCCCACCCUGUCAUGCUUCACGGAGGCUCUGUCGCUGUGUCCCAAGAAGCCAAUUCUGUAAGAAAAGAUCCAGCCUUGACGGCCCAUGGAGACGUGCAGAAGAGGCGGCGGCGAGGAGGGGAGGCUGGAGAGGGUCUCUGACCUUUCCCUAUGGUCUCUUAAAUUCGUCCAUGGUAGGAAGGGAGAUGGAGCAUGGGCAGUGCCUCUAAGUCGGCCGUGCGAAUGCAAAGGGCCACAGCACAGGCUCCUACUGUCUUCGAAGCCCCUGAUGCAAGCGUGAGCAUCAGGGCCUCAGGCCGGCUGACCUCCCUUAGCCAGCUGGUAAUCCUAAGAUUCAUGCCAAGACAUUCUCCCCUCCGAGCUGAUGGAACACAGCUGUGCACCAGUAACUUCUGGAUCCUUGGAUUUGGCUGAAGGGAGGUCACCAAAGGUUGCUCGGUCACUGCACGUUCAGAGCCAAGUCACACGUGGACACCCUCAUUGGCCCAGGUUGUCUUUAUCUUGGCAGCGGCCGACCCAGAGCAGACUCUGGGUGGAGUCAGGAUGGUGCAUUGUUCUCCCCCACAGCCGGUGACCCGCUUAGCUGCCUGGGCUGGCACCAGCUGAGGUCUGGCGGAGUGAGGGCCGUCCCCGGUAAUGGCAGGGCCACUGUGUCUGCUGGGUGCGGCAGACGCUUCCUAAGGGCCCACUCUUUGGUUCAACAUGAGCUGAUGCUUGCUCCUGGGUUUCCAAAUCUUUCUGAGAUUCUGCAAGAAUCUGACCUAUUCCUCUGGUUUAUGGAGGCAGCGGGCUGACUUGUGUUUCCCCACCAGCAGAUCAUUGUUCUAGGAAGGGAGGCAAUCAGGGUCCCAAAGGGGCUGCCCAAGGCAGAGUAUUCUUCAGCAGUAGCUGCCCCGUGCCAACUCCUGCAAACUCCUUAGCACAUCCACACUCUCUCAUACGUGUCGAAUCCCUUGGUCCUUGCGACAGCCCUCUGAAAUGCGCGUGACAGCACAGAGGAGGCCAGGGACCAGAAAAGACAACUGCAGGAGAAAGCUGGGGGCUGUGCGGAGAGGUGGAAAGAGCCUGGAUCUCUGAGGGAACUACCCUUUCUAAAUGGCCCCCUUUGUAUUUCUUGUUCUGCAAGGAGAAAUAAGCUCCUAUCUUAUAAUAUGAUGUGGGUUUUCUGUUACCUGUACCCAGUGCAAUCCUAACAGACUUGCCUGGAAUUCAUUCUCAAUCUCCAGCCAAAGGAGAUUACCCAAAGAACUUUUCCUAAAAAUUCACAAAUCGAGAUGGCCCCCAUUAUACCCUGUGCAAAGUCUGAGUUUCAAGGUGUAGGGAGAGUUGACAGAUGGCAAUGCCAUACUAUGGCCUGGAAAGGGAGAAUGUGACUGGCAGUGCCAAAGGAAGAGAGGCUGAGCCCAAGGGAAGACUCAGGCCCUGGCCUUGAGGAAGAGGAAGUCAAAAGCAUCCUGCUGUAGUCCCUUGACCCUGAAAUAUACACAGACACAGACACAUCAAAGUUCCUACUAACACACAGAGACUCACACAUAUUCCCAGAAACACACAGAUACAAGCAGACUCCUACUAAUUCUCCCUCCCUCGCUCUCAUCUACAUACAUUGACUCACAAACACACGGAUUCUUAUCUACAAACUCACCCACGCACAGACAUAUACUCAGAUCCACAAAGCCACACACACAGACACAGACACACAGGGCCACGGGGGGGCAGGGGAGGGGAGGUGUGGAGUGAGCUGGGGAGAAGGUGGCAGUUAGGUGAGUGGAGGUCUUUUCCUUUGCAGGGGAGGUGGUGGGGGUGUCUGGUGAGGGAGACAAAGAGAGAGCCUCCCUAAUUCCUCUGAGAACGUGGUCUGGGUCAGAACAUCUUCCGCCAUAGGAAGCCGCUGGGUGGCUCCCAUGUCCCUGGAAGUCAGCCACUUUUUUCAGAGGGAGGUCAAUCCCUUCCAUGGCAGGUCACCCCGUGUGCAAGGAGCAGGCAGCACCUGGCCAUGGGAAACAAUCAACCCGGGGAUUUUUUCCAUAAAGAGAAAGGUGAGGCCAGACGGAAGCCCAGGUCCCUGAGAACACGGCAAGAUCAGGUUUCCCAUGAAACCGCAGGCUGGAGAGCCUCCCAGUGAAGCAGAGAACCCACGCGGUCCUUGCUCUGGGUCAUGAGACAGGGACAGACAGCUCAGGUGACCCACGCGCUUUCAGACAGGUAAGAGGGGAUCCAGGUCUGGCGCCCCACCCUCCCAGUGACCCUGGGUUAGUGCCUUUCUCUCUCUGGACCACCGGUGGCUCACCUGUAAGGACAGAGGUCUCCCUCUAAAGUCCCACUGAAGUGACUUACAACUUAACAGGCUAAGGUUUUUGCCUCCCUGCUGGGUCCAAAGGAACCAGGGCAGCAGCCCCCACCCUUUGACCAUCGCCCCUUCUGCUGCCGUUCCUCAGUGUCUUGGCAAGAGGGCAGGGGAAAGGGCUCCUGUUGCAGGGCACACCGGGCCUUCCGUACACCCUUACUGCUGGCCCUGCCUGCACCAGCACCCACCUGCAUGGUGCCAGAAUCUUGUUGAGAUUUGGUUUGUCGGUGAAGAGAGGGAGUACCCAGGGACUUCCGAGAGCCCUGGCAAAGCUGACCUGGAUGGCAGGUGGUUCUCAUCGUCAGUUUCUUGUGCCCAAGUAGCUGCCUUUUCCCACUCCCUCUGACACUCUCUGAAGGGAUCCCUGAAGGCUCCUGGGCUCUGCCAGGGAGGAGACACACUCCUGAGCCUGGCACCCUUUCCACUGAAGCACAUACUAAGGCUUUCCAGAAGUCUGUCCUGGGCUCCUAUCCAGAGGUCUGGCUACUUUUCCUGAGGACUCUGGCUCCAGGGGCUCUUGAGGUCAGGCAGGACCUUCAAAUGGCAGUGAUCCAAGGCCACGUGCCCAUAGAGGACAGGAAAGCCAGCUGGGCAUGAGCUCCUCUGGAGCAGCUUCAGGUAGGACAGGGGAGACAGAACAGCCACAGCCCCACCCUCACUUCAGACACCACCACAGCCACCACCCAGGCCUCUGGCCAGUCCUGAAGUUCCGCUUCUGGCCUGACCUUGUGCUAUGGGCUAAACUGUGUACUCCCUGCCACACACAAUGCUGAUGCGGAAACUCUAAUCCCCAGUACCUCAAAGUUGGAUGUAUUUGGACAUAGGGGCUUUAAAGAGCUGAUUAAUUUAAAGUGAGGUCACUGGGGUGGAACCUGAUCCAACAUGACCGGUGUCCUUAUUAGAAGAGGGCAUCGGGAUACAGAUGAGUGCAGUGGAAAGACCCUGUGAAGACACAGGGAGAAGACGGUUAUCUGCAAGCCAAGGAAAGAGGCCUGGAGCAGAUGUUUCUUGGAACAAAACCAGCCCUGCUGACACCUUGAUCUUGGACUUCCAGCCUCCAGAACUAUGAGACAUAAACUUCUGUUGUUUAAGCCAAUCAGUCUGAGGCACUUUGCAGCCUGCACUGACUAACACACCUGUGUGGAGCCUCAGGUAAGCAUCUUCUUCUCCAGGACCCUCCUAGGCCUGUCCUGUACUCAUGGGAAGGAAGACUGCCCCACCACUCCACCAAUCAGCUCUUUCAUCCCCUGGCUCCCUGUGGAAGUCACCACCUUUGCUGGAAGAGGAAAACCUUCUCCAUGGCAGGCCAUGUCUCUGAGGGUCCCCAAAACCCCCACAGGCCAGCAGAGCAGCUCUCAGCUUCCAUGAUCUUUAGAGCCCCUGCUGGCUCUGAUUCCCAACAGGUCUCACAGCUCACAGACCAUCUGAGGGCUGUUCUCAAAAGGGCACUGGCAGAGGCCUUGAGCAGGAAGUGCUGCAGGUCCUAAGAGCCCUCAGAAGGCUGGCACGAGGUCAGAGAAGGGAGGCCGGCCCCAUCAGCAGCCCCCUCCUCACCUGUACAGCAAUGCAGGGGGUGCCCUCUGUUCCAGUCCAGAAGAAGAAAGGGCUCACACAGCAAGUGCUGAAGGCAUCCCUCCCAAAGUCUGAUGGGAAACUCCCUUCCUAGUCCUCACAAGACUUCCAAGGGACAGAGGAAUGCAACAGACAGAGAAAACACCCUGCCCUGAAUCCCGGGACAUUGCCCCAGCAGUGAAUGUGGAAAUCUUGCCAAGUUUCCCCAGGGAGGGCUGAACCCUGGAGCCAAUUGUGAGGCUCCAUGUGACUCCAAGUCCUACAGCUCAUGCCAAAGGGCUGCAUCUGCCUGUGGCCCUCCUGGGCUGGGGGAGACAGUCUUCUCUGCUUUGAGUAGUAUCAGUCUGCAUAGGUGGACGCCAUCCACAAAGAACGUAGGGGUAGACGAGGCCCUGUGGACAGGCCCCACGGCGUGGGCCAGGCUGCUCCCUGGCUGCUGUGGAGGUCAGGGAGGUCGACUGCAGCAGCUUGCUUGGUGCAGUGAGGACAGUCCAAAGAGUCAGCAAGGGCCAGCAUCUUCAGAGAAAAGCAGGAUCCAGAGGCUCCCCAGGUCCCCAUAUCUCUGGUGGGUGUCAGGCCUCUUGGAGGAAGCCUGGUGGGACCCUCACUAGAGGUGACACUGGAGAGAAGAUGAUGUCAGGGACAGAGGUGUCCAAGCACCCAUUUCUUCCCCACUCCCCAAAACAGGAGUGAAGGAUCAGCAACCAAAAGAAGAAACACAGGAAAACCAGCAGGGCAUUCUGGAAUGGAGCGGACCUAAUGCUGGAGUGCAAUGGUGCAAUCUUGGCUCACUGCAACCUCCGCCUCCCAGGUUCAAGUGAUUCUCCUGCCUCAGCCUCCUGACCUCAGCCUUCCAGUGCUCUGAGAAUGGGACCCAACUCCUCUCCAGACACCAAGGAGCUGACUCUUCCCACCCCUUCCUCCCUCUCUUCCCUUCUGACCAAGGGCCCACCAAGCCCUUUCCUGCUUCCAGACUUUGGUUCUUCCUGGAAUGUUCUUCCCUCAGCUUCCUUGUGGCUGUUUCCUCCCCACACCCCAGGUCUCAUCUCAGAUGUCCUGUCCGCGAGAAGCCCCUCCAGGGCCACCUUGUAGCGCAGCUUGCCCAGUUACUCUCUCCUUCCACCCUGCUGCUUUCCUCCAUGUAACUCACCACAAUCCAUCAUUAUCUUCCUUUUUCUUCUUUGUUUAUUGUCAACCUCCCAUCAAAAAGCAAGCUCCAAGGGCCCAUGUCUAGCAUGCAAUAAGCGUUACACAAACAUGUGGUGAAUCAAAUGAACAAACAAUCUUGUUACCAAUCUGGAUGUAACUCAGGCCAAUCUGCCGUCCUUUCCUGGUGGGGAGAGGGGGGCAUGUUGCUGCCCCUGCACAUCUGGAGGAAAGAAUGAGGGGGCAGGUGGGAUGACAGUCCCCUCACAUCCUAGGUCAUCCGCAAUCCAAUGCCCCUGCACUCUCCACUCUUACAUUCUCUGUGUUAACAAGGGAGGGAGGAUCACUGAAAUCUGAAGAUAAUCCCCAAACGUCAUUUCAGCUGUCUGUGUCAACCUCCUCUGAAGCUAUGCUUUCCUUUGCCCCAGCAGUUGCUAACGAGGCACAAAAGAAUAAAUGUUUCAAGUUGCACAACCUA
ensembl:lncRNA novel transcript, antisense to NTN1